UACGUAGGGGGCUAGCGUUGUCCGGAAUCAUUGGGCGUAAAGCGCGUGUAGGUGGCCCGGUCAGCGUGCGGUGAAAGCUCGGGGCUCAACCCCGGGGUCGGCCGUGCGAACUACUGGGCUGGAGCACUGUAGAGGCAGGCGGAAUUCCGGGUGUAGCGGUGGAAUGCGUAGAGAUCCGGAAGAACACCGGUGGCGAAGGCG
rnacentral:rRNA from 1 species